GAUGAACGCUGGCGGCGUGCCUAAUACAUGCAAGUCGAGCGAACGGACGAGAAGCUUGCGUCUCUGAUGUUAGCGGCGGACGGGUGAGUAACACGUGGAUAACCUACCUAUAAGACGGGGAUAACUUCGGGAAACCGGAGCUAAUACCGGAUAAUCUUUUGAACCGCAUGGUUCAAAAGUGAAAGACGGUCGUGCUGUCACUUAUAGAUGGAUCCGCGCUGGAUUAGCUAGUUGGUAAGGUAACGGCUUACCAAGGCAACGAUGCAUAGCCGACCUGAGAGGGUGAUCGGCCACCCUGGAACUGAGACACGGUCCAGACUCCUACGGGAGGCAGCAGUAGGGAAUCUUCCGCAAUGGGCGAAAGCCUGACGGAGCAACGCCGCGUGAGUGAUGAAGGUCUUCGGAUCGUAAAACUCUGUUAUUAGGGAAGAACAUAUGUGUAAGUAACUGUGCACAUCUUGACGGUACCUAAUCAGAAAGCCACGGCUAACUACGUG
rnacentral:rRNA from 1 species